rnacentral:lncRNA from 1 species
AACUCACAGAGAUCCGCCUACCUCUGCCUUGUGAGUGCUGGGAUUAAAGGUGUGUGCCACCACUACUCGGUUUAAAGUGAAGUUUCUUGGGAAGUCUGCUGCCUUUUAAUUAGUCAUGAGUUGUCAAUUGCUAGCUCAGAUAGAUUUUUUCAUAAACUAAUUACAAGAGCAGUCCCUUUAUCUUGUGUUAUUUUAAAAACAAGAGAUCAUAGUUGGCCUAAAACCUCUUUCUUUAGUGGCUUAGUUGGAAGAGUCUUAGAAAAAAGACUUAGUCUCCUUUUAUCUGGCACACAGAAGGGUCUUAGUAAAUGGUUGGAAAAUGAAUGGAUGGAUGAAUGAACUAGGUGUCAUUUUGGGUAGUUUCCUUCCCGAUGGUGUAGUUUUUGCCUUUGAAAAAUGGGAACAUCACUAGUGGGGAAAAAGAAACUGAAAAAAGAAAGAACGUGAAAUCUAAACAAGCAAGAAGCACCCUGUAGAUACAGGAGACAUUUGAAUGUUAACCCCAAACCUGAAAGCACAGACUCCUCUCUGGCUCCUAAGUUCAACACAAACUGUGCACAUGGCGUUAAAGCUGCAUUUCUCUCCAUUAAACCCAUGGAGAGAAGUGACAGAAACCUUUUUGAGACUUUCAGUUUCUGCCUGUUUAUGGCUUUGAAAAGCUUGAGAUCUUCUGGUUAUGUCUUUGGGCAGAAGCAAGAAUGUCCCUCUUCCAGUGGAAAGCCCAACCACGCAGACAUCUUGCUUAUAAACUUACAGUAUGUUUCUGAAGUGGAAAUAAUUAAUGAUCGAACAGAAACCCCUCCUCCACUAGCAUCACUUAAUGUUAGUAAGGUAAGGUUUCAAGGGCAGUUCUAGCUGUCUAAAACACUGACUUUUUGUGAUAUAUACAUUGCUUAUUCUGUUUUUUUUUUCUUGGGGAGGGGCAGGGACUGCUUGUUCUUUUUCCCAUUUGAGGAGGUACUCAUAUAUCCCAUGCUAACUUUGAACUUAAUAUAUAGCCAAGGACGGCUUUGAACUUCAGAUUUUCCUGACUGUCUCCAGGACAGUGCUGGGAUUAUAAUAGGCAUGUGCUACCACAAAUGGUUUCUGUGAUGUGGGGAUCAAACACAGGCCCUCCUGCCUGCUAGGCAAGCACUCUGCCAGCUGAGCGCCUUCCCCGGCCUUUCUUUGGUGGCUUAUAUGAGACAGGGUUUCACGUAGCCUAGGCUGGCCUUGAACUUGUUCUGUAUACUUUGUGAUAAUGACUUUAAACUCAGAUCUUCCUGACUACACCUCUUAAGUGUUAAAAUUGCCUGGCUUGUUAUCUUUUCUAAAGUAUAUUUGUAUAAUUUGUUCCCUUUAUUUCUGAAUAUCUUUGUUGCACCUUAAGAAAUAACUUUGGGUCUCUAAGUUUGGGAGGCCAGCCUGGUUUACAGAGUGAGUUCCAGGACAGAGUCCAAAGCUACACAGAGAAGCUACCUCAAAAAACAAAUAAAUAAAGAAAUAAAAAACAAAUAAAAAAGAAAGGAAAAAGAAAUACCUUUAACUUGGGUGGUGCAUGCCUGCAAUCUCAGUACUUGGGAGGUAGACACAGGAGGUUCAGAAGUUGAAGGUCCCCAGGUGUUGAUGGCGAGCACCUUUAAUUCCAGCACUCGGGAGGCAGAG